GCACCACUAGCUCAGUUGGAUAGAGCACUGGUCUUCGGAACCAGGUGUCGGGGGUUCGAAUCCCUCGUGGUGCACCA
rnacentral:tRNA from 1 species